UCUCCCUGUGUUGCUUCCAUCUUGCUUUUCUGAAGCUGAUAGCCACAUCCUUGUCAGUUUGUAGAACUCAAGUUGUUUGCUUGGUCUGGUCUAGUUGGGUUACCGCAGUUGACCUGACAUGCCUUUAAAUCAUAAAUCCAUUGAAUUUCGAUCCUGAUUUUGUAAGCCAGUUCAUAAAGCAUGGUUACCACCUUGGCUAGCGGCACAAUAUGCUCAUUAUGUGGUAAGAGCAGAACCAUAAAUAUUUAUCACUUCAAUUUCCAUUCUUAUGUUCUCCCAUCACUGACCACAAAUAUUUACUACUACAAUUUCCAUGUUCUUGUUCUCUCAUUGCUAUAGACGUCAUCAUUUGUAGGAGGUUGUCUCAGAUCACUGGAGCUAACAUGGGAAACCUGCUAUGCAGAAUGUUUUUGUGCCUUUUUCAUACUAGUUUCUUUUAUUUCCAAUUUCAAAAUGAAUUACACAAAUAAAAUGACCAUUUAUAUGUCUACGUAUCUAACAUUUCAGGCAUCAGAAAAAUUAGCACAUGCAAAGAAAUGGGUUGAAACUCAUAUUGAGGCUACUAAGAUGAAAUGGAUUUCUGUUAAGGAGAAAUUGGUUGUCCUAAAAAAUGUAGAACCUUAUGUACAAAAGGUAUCAACAAGAUGUUAAUGGGCUGAACUUCAUAUUAAGACUUCUAAAAUGAAAUGGAUUCCUGUUAAAGACAAAAUUGGUGGUCCUCACGAAAAAUGCAGAACCUUAUGUACAAAUCGGUUGUCUUCAAAAUGUUGAUCUUGUAGCUGCAAUAAAGAGAAGCAACAAUGGCGCUGAUGCUACAUGGUUAGAAGUAGCAAUGUUGGUCUGGUAGCUCCAAGAUUUGGUUGUUAUUGAAUAAUAUCUAUGAUAAUAUGUUGAUAAGUAUAUGUGAUGAUCAUUGAUAGUUGUUCAAUUAUAAUGGGUUGUGCUUCU